UCACGCUCGUGCCCUCGACGCGGAUGGCUC
rnacentral:piRNA from 1 species